rnacentral:lncRNA from 1 species
GUCCAAAAGGUAAAAAUCAUUAAAAAAAUGCAACUUGCUUUUUUUAAAGACAAAAAAGGGAGGGAUAUUGUGGAGGAGGCAUGCACGCAAGACAAAAUGCAAAGGACAUCAUCUGUCAGUUAAAAUGAAGAUUCCAUUUGGAAUGUGACUGGGAGACAGUUGGAGUCAAGCCAAUGGCUGAACUGGACUGAGCUGGGUUGAACUGGACUUUUGGUUUUUGGCUUCUGACAGAGGUGGAGAAGAAGUGUGGUGGAUAUCUGGGUUCUAGGCUGAAGAAGUUUGCUGGGGCACAGCACUCUGUGCUGCUAAAGAUUUCUGCAAGAGAAAAGAGAAACAAAGGGAAAGAGAUGAGGACACCGAUGGUUUGCACAUAGAUAUCGAGGUGACCAUAGAGUCAGUCAUAGAGGUGACCCCAAAUUCAUCAAGGUGACAGAGUCAAGAUUGGACUUCAGGAGGCAAAAAUGGCAGAAUAGAAGAAACACUACAGCCCAACAUUCUCCUCCAAACAACUUUAAAAUAUUGGAUUCUGGAGUGGUAGAGCCAACAACAGAUCAAGGUGAGACACUUGCAACAUAAGAAAACUGAGAAUAUGGGAAGAGUGGUCUGUGAAAUGAGAGCUGAGCUGGAGCACUCACUAGACAACUUUGUUCCUUUGAGGCAGUUGUGAUAGCAGCUACAGCAUCUUUGAGAGCUCUCAGCCCAGAGAUAAUAAAGGGAUUAAACAAUUGAUCCA